AUUAAACGCUGGCGGCAUGCCUUACACAUGCAAGUCGAACGGUAGCGCGGGGCAACCUGGCGACGAGUGGCGAACGGGUGAGUAAAGCAUCGGAACGUGCCCUGGAAUGGGGGAUAACGUAGCGAAAGUUACGCUAAUACCGCGUAUUCUGUGAGCAGGAAAGCAGGGGAUCGCAAGACCUUGCGUUCUGGGAGCGGCCGAUGUCGGAUUAGCUAGUUGGUGGGGUAAAAGCCUACCAAGGCGACGAUCCGUAGCGGGUCUGAGAGGAUGAUCCGCCACACUGGGACUGAGACACGGCCCAGACUCCUACGGGAGGCAGCAGUGGGGAAUUUUGGACAAUGGGCGGAAGCCUGAUCCAGCCAUGCCGCGUGAGUGAAGAAGGCCUCGGUUGUAAG
rnacentral:rRNA from 1 species